CCGUGUAUAUAUAUCUGAUGUCAAAUACUUCAGAUCUAGGGUUUACGUUUUCAGCCCCCAUUCAUUUUAGCAGCCGUUUGUUUAUACUCUUUCUAGAUUUAUCUUCUCAUUUUGCUUUUGCCGUCAUUUUCUCUUCUCCUAAUUUGAACUAUAUCUUCCAUAUUCUUCAUCCUUAUCUUCAAUUAGAGAAUUAAGAAAACACUAAAGAAUCUUGUUUUUUUUUUUCCAUUCACCAUCCCAUCGGUAGAUCUACUACUGCAUCUUCUUCCACCAUAAGCUCCGACGAUGUUCCGCCACAGAUGAAUCGUCGAUCCCUGGGACCUCGGCGUCGCCGACUCGCCGUUGUAGUCCACCAACUCACCACAGUCGAGGCAGUGCAAUAUCGGCUUUUAAAUCCUAUUUUUCUUUCUUUCUAUUUUUUUGGGCAACUUUCUAUCUAUACUUUGUAGUGUCUUUUACAUAUAAUAAAAAAAUGUUGGUGUUUUUCCGACCCGCCCGCCAACCCGACCGACCCGAUAAACCCGAAAAUAAC
rnacentral:lncRNA from 1 species